ACUUAGCUUGCUAAGUAUGAUGGCGACCGGCGCACGGAGUGAGUAACACGUAUCCAACCUGCCGAUGACUCGGGGAUAGCCUUUCGAAAGAAAGAUUAAUACCCGAUGGCAUAGUUCUUCCGCAUGGUGGAACUAUUAAAGAAUUUCGGUCAUCGAUGGGGAUGCGUUCCAUUAGGUUGUUGGCGGGGUAACGGCCCACCAAGCCUUCGAUGGAUAGGGGUUCUGAGAGGAAGGUCCCCCACAUUGGAACUGAGACACGGUCCAAACUCCUACGGGAGGCAGCAGUGAGGAAUAUUGGUCAAUGGACGAGAGUCUGAACCAGCCAAGUAGCGUGAAGGAUGACUGCCCUAUGGGUUGUAAACUUCUUUUAUACGGGAAUAAAGUGAGGCACGUGUGCCUUUUUGUAUGUACCGUAUGAAUAAGGAUCGGCUAACUCCGUGCCAGCAGCCGCGGUAAUACGGAGGAUCCGAGCGUUAUCCGGAUUUAUUGGGUUUAAAGGGAGCGUAGGCGGACGCUUAAGUCAGUUGUGAAAGUUUGCGGCUCAACCGUAAAAUUGCAGUUGAUACUGGGUGUCUUGAGUACAGUAGAGGCAGGCGGAAUUCGUGGUGUAGCGGUGAAAUGCUUAGAUAUCACGAAGAACUCCGAUUGCGAAGGCAGCUGCUGGACUGUAACUGACGCUGAUG
rnacentral:rRNA from 1 species